AGAUUUGGCAAUUGAAUUGCAUGCAUUUUUGCAUGUAAUUAGGCUAUAAAUAGAGAUGUUUUCAAAUGUUGAAGGACUUUUGCCUCUUUUAUCAUUUUCAUAAUCUCAACAAAAGAAGAAAAAAACUUCCAAUCUCAUUUUAUCUCCAUUAUUUUCUACACCAAAAUUGGGUCCCACAACCCGGUUCUUUGUCUAGAGGAUAGCAGUUGAGUACUAGUGGUGGUCUCGGGUAGAAUUGGUAAGAAGACAUCAAACCUUUUGUAAGCUUCAAAGGUAAUACUUCUUAAAACCCUAAUUUGAUUAGUUUAUGGUUACAUGUUAAUUGUGGCAAUUAGGGUAGAAAUUCGAUUCUUUUUCCGCUGUGCAUGACUUAGUUCUAUCAGGAGAAAUCUAAACGUAUACAAAUAUUUCCAUUGAUCCAAUUGUGCAUAACGUGUUUUCCAAGGCAAUCAAUGUUUUUCCUUCAAUAUGCACAUUUAACAUCAUAUAAAGCAUUGCAAACAUAUGAUUGGAUUGUUCCUAAAUUAAAGACACGUUUAAAAGUUCAGAAACCAUGUAUAAGAACGCACAUACAAGAGUUUACACACUGUGUGAAAUUCGAUUGCAACUAGUGUGGGAGAUGUAGAGAAAAAGAUAUGAGAUUUUUCUUGAUCCCUUCAAUUAUGUUUUAUUUUAUAUAAAUAACAUUUGAAACUAUAUGCAAUGGCAUGCUCUAGCUAAACCAUGCAUUAAUAUUUCAUUUCAAAAUAUCUUUUCUAGUUCCAAGGAAAGCACAUAUUAUAAGUUCCAGUGUCUUUUGGGUGCAUCAAACAAGGGCCAUCUCGAUAAAUUUCCCACGAGCAAUUAGUGCAACGAUUCAUGUCCCUGUGAAAGUUAUAGAUGGUGAAGUUGUGCAUCUCGCCUUGCACAAAUUCAAAGCCGCAAGUAAAUUCUGUUGUGCCCCAAAUAUUAGGUUUAAAGUGAAAGGAGUAACUACGUCCAGACUCAAGGGAAUGGACUCCCAAGUCAUCGUCCUUUGACCUACAGUGAACGCCUAGCACUGGGCCAGCCAAUUUAUUAAUAGUGGUCACUGUUGUUUCAGGUGGACCAAUUGAGAUUAAUUCUUCAUCAGCAUAUAGCGUGAUGAAAAGUAUUUGUAAAACCAAGAAUGCAAGUGCCAACGAGGAAUUCAUUAUGCUUUCGAAUCGAGAGAGAAAGAUAAGUAAUGUCCAAAGGACUAUGCUUUUCUUUUGUUGUUGGACACAAUGGAAUGUUUCGAAACAUCACACAGACAUAUAUAGGAGAGUAAAGGAAUACAAAUCUUUUUUCAAAUGGUUAAAUGGUAAUUUUGUGAUCGUUAUGCAACUUUUCAUUUUAGAAGCAGGAACCGCGAUAGUUUGAAUCAAAUGGUGAAAGAGCGCAUUAAACAACUACAUAUUGGUAGUGACAUUCCACAAUUAAUAAAAGAAAAAGAAAAUAAGUUGUAAAACAAUUCACGAAAUGAUUGUUAUGUUUAACCACAUGAGGUUAAUUUUUACAUCCCAACUCAACACUAUUCCUUUUCCGUUUGUUUUGUCUUCUCUUUUUCUUCAAGUUACGUACUAAUAAGGAUGGUUGGAAGACAAUAAAUUAGGGAAAGAGUGUGGGUUUAGGUUACAUUUCAGCAUUUAGUUAAAUUAUAGGUUGAUACGCUUUUUAAUUUGUAUUGUGUAUAUACAAAAUAACAUAUCUUGUUGUUGGUAUUUUAUUAAUGCCACAUCAAAUUUCUAAUUAGGAGAUUCUUCAACCUGUAUGUUUAGUUAGUCCGUGCUUGGAUUGGAAUGUUGGGUUGAUUAAUUUAAAUCUUAAAAUAAUAAUUGUAUCGAUUUAAAUCCUAAACUUCGCCGGGUGUAUCAAUUUAAACCUCAACUAAACUAAUAAUAGUAUCGAUUUGAACAUUGCACUUCAAUUAGUCUAUCAUUCACCUCCUCUUCAACUUCUUCCCCCCCUCUUCCUCCCCUUACCAUCAUGCAAACGUUUAACAUGAAACAUCUUUACCAACACAUUUUUCAAUGUGCAUCACUCAAGCAAAAUGAAAUACAUCGUCCGACAUAAAAGAUAGGUGGUAACUUAAUUAUUUCCAUUAGAUGUUGUUCACCAUCACAUUCGAUUAAUAUAUAUGUAUAUACAUAAACGAUCUGUAACUGUGUGCUUGCUUGCCAAUAUUUUCCUUCGCUGCCUUGUGGGGCAUAAAACAAAAUAUUUUGAGGUUACACCAAAACGGUCUAGUGAGUGGAGGUUUUCAUCAACACAUUUAAUAGAACACACUCUCGCCAUAACGCAUUACAAAAGUUCUUUCCACAACACCACGCAAUAUAAAUAAGUACGCAUUUCAAUAGAAAUAUGAGUUUAAAUUGGAAAAUCAUUCCGCUGCGUUUGGCGAUUUACACAUUCAAAUCUCAUUGGCAAAUAUUCAUAGCAACCCAUUUCCUUGCAAAUUCAUUUCAUCAUAAAAUCACAUCGCAUGGGAGAGCAUUUCGCAUAACAAUUUCCAUCUUUCGUACCAUGCUAAGCUCAAGAGUCAACACGCUCUUAUCGCUGAGUUGCAGCUGUACGGAGAAAUCUAAACGUAUACAAAUAUUUCCAUUGAUCCAAUUGUGCAUAACGUGUUUUCCAAGGCAAUCAAUGUUUUUCCUUCAAUAUGCACAUUUAACAUCAUAUAAAGCAUUGCAAACAUAUGAUUGGAUUGUUCCUAAAUUAAAGACACGUUUAAAAGUUCAGAAACCAUGUAUAAGAACGCACAUACAAGAGUUUACACACUGUGUGAAAUUCGAUUGCAACUAGUGUGGGAGAUGUAGAGAAAAAGAUAUGAGAUUUUUCUUGAUCCCUUCAAUUAUGUUUUAUUUUAUAUAAAUAACAUUUGAAACUAUAUGCAAUGGCAUGCUCUAGCUAAACCAUGCAUUAAUAUUUCAUUUCAAAAUAUCUUUUCUAGUUCCAAGGAAAGCACAUAUUAUAAGUUCCAGUGUCUUUUGGGUGCAUCAAACAAGGGCCAUCUCGAUAAAUUUCCCACGAGCAAUUAGUGCAACGAUUCAUGUCCCUGUGAAAGUUAUAGAUGGUGAAGUUGUGCAUCUCGCCUUGCACAAAUUCAAAGCCGCAAGUAAAUUCUGUUGUGCCCCAAAUAUUAGGUUUAAAGUGAAAGGAGUAACUACGUCCAGACUCAAGGGAAUGGACUCCCAAGUCAUCGUCCUUUGACCUACAGUGAACGCCUAGCACUGGGCCAGCCAAUUUAUUAAUAGUGGUCACUGUUGUUUCAGGUGGACCAAUUGAGAUUAAUUCUUCAUCAGCAUAUAGCGUGAUGAAAAGUAUUUGUAAAACCAAGAAUGCAAGUGCCAACGAGGAAUUCAUUAUGCUUUCGAAUCGAGAGAGAAAGAUAAGUAAUGUCCAAAGGACUAUGCUUUUCUUUUGUUGUUGGACACAAUGGAAUGUUUCGAAACAUCACACAGACAUAUAUAGGAGAGUAAAGGAAUACAAAUCUUUUUUCAAAUGGUUAAAUGGUAAUUUUGUGAUCGUUAUGCAACUUUUCAUUUUAGAAGCAGGAACCGCGAUAGUUUGAAUCAAAUGGUGAAAGAGCGCAUUAAACAACUACAUAUUGGUAGUGACAUUCCACAAUUAAUAAAAGAAAAAGAAAAUAAGUUGUAAAACAAUUCACGAAAUGAUUGUUAUGUUUAACCACAUGAGGUUAAUUUUUACAUCCCAACUCAACACUAUUCCUUUUCCGUUUGUUUUGUCUUCUCUUUUUCUUCAAGUUACGUACUAAUAAGGAUGGUUGGAAGACAAUAAAUUAGGGAAAG
rnacentral:lncRNA from 1 species